UCUUUGCUCUUUGCUAUAAAGCUGGGGCAGGGAAGUAUUCCCUUGAUGUCCCUGUGAUUCUUAACCAAAGCAUGUUUGUGUGACGCAUGCCCAUGCUCUUGUGACCAAAGUGUGUUAGCUUAAGUUAUCAUUCCACCCUAGGAACCCUCUUAUGCCCUCUAAAUCCUACAUGUGGUGACAAAAACCCAGCAGAUCUCCCACCUCACCAUGCCCAAGGAUUUUCAAAGGUUUUCUCAGUCAUGUGACGUUUGUUCCGUGCUCAUCUAAGGUCAGUGGUGCUCGCCAAGUUAGUUUUCCUAACUCUACUGCUUUGUAUUGCUCUGAACGUGGUCGUGCCACCGUGGUCUGGCGCCACGGACGGUCCUGCCGUCGACCCGUCAGCUGGCGCUUUCCCUGAGCAACUUCAUAGGAAGGUCCGCAGUGCUCUAUGUGCUUCUAGUUGGAGCUCUACUGUACUGUUGUCCUAGGAUCGAGUUUAUCAUGUCGGAUCUCACUGGCGUCGUGGUCAGAGCCUAUGAGUGUCUGACAUGGGUGUUGAAGGGUUGUGCCCGGGUUGUGUUGGCCGCGGACAUGUCUCAGUAGUAGUUGGGGGACGCCGGAGAGCAGCGCCGACGCGGUCGUAGGCGCCGGGUCACCGGAGUAGCACGACGGGCAUCUGGUUCAAGUUUUUCUGAAGUUGGUUGUGAAGCCGGGUUGGAUGUGUUAAACCAAGAUCUCUCUAAGUGAAGUUGGUUGUAGGAUUUUUAGAGCUGUUAGUAAAUAUUAAGUGAAUUAAGGGUGCUCUUAAAGGACUAUUUGAAUUUUAGAAAUAAGAAUUGAGCACCAAAAAAAUCAUGGAAUUUUUUUGAGAAAUUUGUUAUCAGAAGCUUAUCACUUGGUAAAAGUUUGGGGCUGUUUGGAACCUUUUUGCUCUAGAAACCUUGUAAGCCCCAAAAUAGAGUGGUUAAUCCCUAAUCAAGUGUGGGUUAAUGCUUUGGAAAGGAGAUAAGGUUAUCUAGGGAAGAGAUGCAGUUGCUUAAGAAGUUUUAAGCUUUUGGAUGAGAUAUAAGUUGGAUUAGUUCCUUGGUUUACCUAAGUGAAUUCAAUUGGUCACUUUUAUUGAAUGCUAGGUUGUGUAGAAGUAUGUGUAUACUUGUCAUGUACUUAUUUAGGAGUGUUUAUGUUCCCCACUUCUCCUUAUGAGAGUUUGCAUUCCAUAUCAUUACAUAAGCAUACAUGUAUUUGUAAUUGACUUGUAGAACACCUAGAAGAAGUGGUGUUUGAAGGAGUCUACUCCAGUGGCUGCUGAUCAAGUGGAGGAGCCAUCUAACUGUGUAUUGGGUAGAGGGUUCUAGAGCCUCUUCUCUGCAACAAAGGCAAGCCCCGGUGCAUUUGCCCCUUCCUUGUAUUUUUAAAAAAGACUUUUAUACACUUAAGUCUAGUGAAAUGUGCAUUAAGUUUAUAGGAAUUGCUUGGAAACUAUUUGAUGCAUCGCUUACCUUGAUAUCCAUGCCUUUAUAGAUACUUCUGAUGGAGUAUCAAAAUAUGAUUUACAAAAAAAAUGCUUAGCCCUGCUUAGAUCUUGUGGAUAGAGGUUGCCCUUUGCAAUAAUGCCUAGCUCAGGGGUUAUCCCGAGGAAGGAUGACUUCUACCUGCAAGAAUAUUUUCAUUGGGAGCAUGGUGUGAUCUUACUGCAAAGUUCACUAUAAUGCUCUUUUCAUCCUAAGGAACACAAAACAAUCCUAAGGGUGGAAGUACUUAACUCGAGACUUGGGCUAGGAACAGGUGAUGCUCCACCCAGGUUAAUUAAGGAUUGGAUGCGUAUGUAGGCCUAUAUGAUCAAGGACUAUUUUAACUGGCCACAUGCCGUGGAUAUGGGACAGGGUAAGCUUGAACCUAACUAUUCCAUACGUGAAAAGAUAACCGCGCACUGGGCGUGGGAGAUGGUGGGAGUAGCGUGUACCCUCCUGGCUAGAGGCUGGACGGAGGAGUAUUGUGCUCCCAGGUAGCGCGGACCGGUUCACGUUGUGGAGGAUCUAUGGGAACGGUUGACAUAUGCAAGGGUUAAGUGCUACAUAUGUCGUGUGGUUAGAGAUCCUCAACUGAGUAAAUCGAUUUGGAUCGCCGUUAUAUCCCCGGAUAGUGAAGACUUGAUCUCUGACCUACAACCUAAGUCAGGAUGUGAACAUUAUGAAUAAAAAUGAUGUUGUAUUGAUGAGAUGGUGAAAUUAGACUAGAUGCAAACAGAGUCUAUUAAUAUUUAAUCUGGCGUUAAAAUGUUGAAAGUAAGGACUCACUUUAGUAGGCUAUUUCUGCAAAAGUACCUAAGUUGAUUCUUGCUAAAGCCUUUUCCUUGAUUCCUAUUUAACCAGCAUAUCCUUGAGAGUCAUUUUUCCUUAGUCGGGUAAGACUUGCGAAAGUACACUUCGUACUCAGGGUUUUCGAACCCAUGUUGUUGUAGGUGAUGAGGAGUACUCUAGGUGUUCCUGUGGCUGGAGGGCGUUUCCAGUUCUGGAAGAGGAUUAGUUAGGCUUGUGUAUAAGUUUUGGAGGGUUCCUACCUUCCUGCUAUUGUAAUAAGUUAUGCACUUUGAGUAUAUCAGGACUUGUAAUAAAUGUAACUCUUCCUAUGUAAUAAACUUCAGUUUUAGAAAUGAAAAGAAUGUUUUAUAAA
rnacentral:lncRNA from 1 species